rnacentral:rRNA from 1 species
UAUCGGUUCGGCGUAGCUUCUUAGAGGGACGGGCGGCGUUUAGCGCACGAGAAUGAGCAAUAACAGGUCUGUGAUGCCCUUAGAUGUUCUGGGCUGCACGCGCGCUACACUGAAGAAAUCAGCAUGUGUUCCCUACCCGAAAGGGUUGGGAAACCAGUUGAACCUUCUUCGUGAUGGGGAUUGGGGAUUGCAAUUAUUCCCCAUGAACGAGGAAUUCCCAGUAG